UCCAGCCAGAGGGAAAAGCAUGUGCAAAAGUCCUGAGGAAAGGGGCACAUAGCAGGUUCUAGUCUGAUGAGGCCACAGUUGGAAGACUGGAUUCCACUCUGGACGCCCUUGCUUAUUAGGAGAAAGACAUACGUGUCACUUCGUGGGGAACGAAGGCAUCAUCCCUGGAGAAAGCCUCACACAUGUGGCCAAGGAGACAUAUCCAAGUAUGUCCACUAUAGAAUCUUUAUCGGCAUCGACUUAGAUGCCCACCAACAGGGGACUGGACACAGGUAAUUCUGUGCACGCACAUGUUUUUUGAGCACAGUCGGGACACCCACAAAUUGGGUGGCUCAGUCAGUUAAGCAUCCUACUUCGGCUCAGGUCACGAUCUUGUGGUUCAUGAGUCCAAGCCCCACGUCAGGCUCUGUGCUGACAGCUCAGAGCCUCGAGCCUGUGUCUUCCUCUCUCUCUGCCUCUCCCCUGCUCACACUCUCUCUCUCUCUCUCUCUCAAAAAUGAAUAAAUGAAAGAAAAAUUUUUAAAAAAGAUCGCAAUCAAAGUAGAUGAAACAGAGGUCUGUGUGUCAACAGGGGGAUCUUUCAAAACCGUGGCAGAGAGAGAAAAUUCGGAUCACGAAGUGAUCCGUAGCCCAUUUAAGAAACUGAACCCCCCCGAGAGGCCCCGUAUGUUUUCCAGAAUUCAUGUACAGUCUGUAAAACUCAUACGAAAACGAGGAUACGCAUUCUGAAUUCACGACAGUACGUGUGGGUGGGUGGGGUUACGGAGAGACUGGGCAGCUAGACUUAGCGUGUUCUUUUUCACGACUAUAUAAUAUUCCGGUGAAGGAUGAUACAGUUGAUCCUCGAACAAUAGGGGUAUGCGGUGUGCGGUCCCCUUCUGUGAGAUUUUCUUCAAGAAGCACAGCCAGGUUCCCCUAGAUUGGCUCAACGAUGUUUUCUUUCCUGCAGCUUGCUUCAUUGUAAGAAUGUGGCAUAUAUUACGUAGCACAUAUACAACAUGUGAUACAAUGCCACCUACUUAUGUGAUCUGUAGGGCUUCCGGUCAACAGUCGGCUAUCAGUGGUUACGUUUCCAGGGAUCCACAGUUACGUGCAGAUUGUCAGCUGCACCAGGAGGCAGUCCCCCCCGACCCCCACGUUGUUCAAGGGUUAAUUGUACUACGUUUUAUGCACGUAUUGCCCUGUUUGGAGAUACGUAGGUUGGUUCAGACGUUUUGCUGUUACCGUGUGAGACCCCCAUCCCUCUUUCACGCAUUUCCAAACGCUCCUCCAGGAAGAGAACUUUUUC